rnacentral:rRNA from 1 species
GGUUAAGCGACUAAGCGUACACGGUGGAUGCCCUGGCAGUCAGAGGCGAUGAAGGACGUGCUAAUCUGCGAUAAGCGUCGGUGAGGUGAUAUGAACCGUUAUAACCGGCGAUUUCCGAAUGGGGAAACCCAGUGUGUUUCGACACACUAUCAUUAACUGAAUCCAUAGGUUAAUGAGGCGAACCGGGGGAACUGAAACAUCUAAGUACCCCGAGGAAAAGAAAUCAACCGAGAUUCCCCCAGUAGCGGCGAGCGAACGGGGAGGAGCCCAGAGCCUGAAUCAGUGUGUGUGUUAGUGGAAGCGUCUGGAAAGGCGCGCGAUACAGGGUGACAGCCCCGUACACAAAAAUGCACAUACUGUGAGCUCGAUGAGUAGGGCGGGACACGUGGUAUCCUGUCUGAAUAUGGGGGGACCAUCCUCCAAGGCUAAAUACUCCUGACUGACCGAUAGUGAACCAGUACCGUGAGGGAAAGGCGAAAAGAACCCCGGCGAGGGGAGUGAAAAAGAACCUGAAACCGUGUACGUACAAGCAGUGGGAGCCUCUUAAUGGGGUGACUGCGUACCUUUUGUAUAAUGGGUCAGCGACUUAUAUUCUGUAGCAAGGUUAACCGAAUAGGGGAGCCGAAGGGAAACCGAGUCUUAACUGGGCGUUAAGUUGCAGGGUAUAGACCCGAAACCCGGUGAUCUAGCCAUGGGCAGGUUGAAGGUUGGGUAACACUAACUGGAGGACCGAACCGACUAAUGUUGAAAAAUUAGCGGAUGACUUGUGGCUGGGGGUGAAAGGCCAAUCAAACCGGGAGAUAGCUGGUUCUCCCCGAAAGCUAUUUAGGUAGCGCCUCGUGAAUUCAUCUCCGGGGGUAGAGCACUGUUUCGGCAAGGGGGUCAUCCCGACUUACCAACCCGAUGCAAACUGCGAAUACCGGAGAAUGUUAUCACGGGAGACACACGGCGGGUGCUAACGUCCGUCGUGAAGAGGGAAACAACCCAGACCGCCAGCUAAGGUCCCAAAGUCAUGGUUAAGUGGGAAACGAUGUGGGAAGGCCCAGACAGCCAGGAUGUUGGCUUAGAAGCAGCCAUCAUUUAAAGAAAGCGUAAUAGCUCACUGGUCGAGUCGGCCUGCGCGGAAGAUGUAACGGGGCUAAACCAUGCACCGAAGCUGCGGCAGCGACACUAUGUGUUGUUGGGUAGGGGAGCGUUCUGUAAGCCUGUGAAGGUGUACUGUGAGGU